CCUACGGGCGGCAGCAGUGGGGAAUAUUGGACAAUGGGCGAAAGCCUGAUCCAGCCAUGCCGCGUGUGUGAAGAAGGCCUUCGGGUUGUAAAGCACUUUCAGUGGGGAAGAAAGCCUUGGGGCUAAUACCCUCGAGGAAGGACAUCACCCACAGAAGAAGCACCGGCUAACUCCGUGCCAGCAGCCGCGGUAAUACGGAGGGUGCGAGCGUUAAUCGGAAUUACUGGGCGUAAAGCGCGCGUAGGCGGUCUGAUAAGCCGGUUGUGAAAGCCCCGGGCUCAACCUGGGAACGGCAUCCGGAACUGUCAGGAGAGAGUGCAGGAGAGGAAGGUAGAAUUCCCGGUGUAGCGGUGAAAUGCGUAGAGAUCGGGAGGAAUACCAGUGGCGAAGGCGGCCUUCUGGAAUGACACUGACGCUGAGGUGCGAAAGCGUGGGUAGCAAACAGGAUUAGAUACCCUAGUAGUC
rnacentral:rRNA from 1 species